GACGAACGCUGUCGGCGUGCUUAACACAUGCAAGUCGAACGGAAAGGCCCUGCUUUUGUGGGGUGCUCGAGUGGCGAACGGGUGAGUAACACGUGAGUAACCUGCCCUUGACUUUGGGAUAACUUCAGGAAACUGGGGCUAAUACCGGAUAGGAGCUCCUGCUGCAUGGUGGGGGUUGGAAAGUUUCGGCGGUUGGGGAUGGACUCGCGGCUUAUCAGCUUGUUGGUGGGGUAGUGGCUUACCAAGGCUUUGACGGGUAGCCGGCCUGAGAGGGUGACCGGCCACAUUGGGACUGAGAUACGGCCCAGACUCCUACGGGAGGCAGCAGUGGGGAAUAUUGCACAAUGGGCGGAAGCCUGAUGCAGCAACGCCGCGUGCGGGAUGACGGCCUUCGGGUUGUAAACCGCUUUCGCCUGUGACGAAGCGUGAGUGACGGUAAUGGGUAAAGAAGCACCGGCUAACUACGUGCCAGCAGCCGCGGUGAUACGUAGGGUGCGAGCGUUGUCCGGACUUAUUGGGCGUAAAGGGCUCGUAGGUGGUUGAUCGCGUCGGAAGUGUAAUCUUGGGGCUUAACCCUGAGCGUGCUUUCGAUACGGGUUGACUUGAGGAAGGUAGGGGAGAAUGGAAUUCCUGGUGGAGCGGUGGAAUGCGCAGAUAUCAGGAGGAACACCAGUGGCGAAGGCGGUUCUCUGGGCCUUUCCUGACGCUGAGGAGCGAAAGCGUGGGGAGCGAACAGGCUUAGAUACCCUGGUAGUCCACGCUGUAAACGGUGGGUACUAGGUGUGGGGUCCAUUCCACGGGUUCCGUGCCGUAGCUAACGCUUUAAGUACCCCGCCUGGGGAGUACGGCCGCAAGGCUAAAACUCAAAGGAAUUGACGGGGCCCCGCACAAGCGGCGGAGCAUGCGGAUUAAUUCGAUGCAACGCGUAGAACCUUACCUGGGUUUGACAUGGAUCGGGAGUGCUCAGAGAUGGGUGUGCCUCUUUUGGGGUCGGUUCACAGGUGGUGCAUGCCUGUCGUCAGCUCGUGUCGUGAGAUGUUGGGUUAAGUCCCGCAACGAGCGCAACCCUUGUUCACUGUUGCCAGCACGUUAUGGUGGGGACUCAGUGGAGACCGCCGGGGUCAACUCGGAGGAAGGUGGGGAUGACGUCAAGCCCUCAUGCCCCUUAUGUCCAGGGCUUCACGCAUGCUACAAUGGCUGGUACAGAGAGUGGCGAGCCUGUGAGGGUGAGCGAAUCUCGGAAAGCCGGUCUCAGUUCGGAUUGGGGUCUGCAACUCGACCUCAUGAAGUCGGAGUCGCUAGUAAUCGAAGAUCAGCAACGCUGCGGUGAAUACGUUCCCGGGGCC
rnacentral:rRNA from 1 species